UGGUCUGACCUUUAGACCAGUGACUCCACGAGUGUCUCUGUCAGUUUCCUCAUCUGCUCAUGGCUGAGCCAGGCCAGGGGCUGUGUGGCUCCCUCACGAACUUUAAUUCCACGCCUCAUUAGCUCAAAGACCGCGGGGGUGAGCCGGGGAAAUAUCCGUGCAAGGAAGGCUUUCCCUCUGUCUGAAGAGGAAGACCUGCGGGAGUCGGGGCUCCAGGACACUCCAGACACAUUUCUCACCCGGCUCCGAGUAAAGAGGGUGUCUGGUCUCUGGGAGGUGAAGAGCCAGCCCACCUGCUCCCUGCCUCCCCGGGGACGGUUGCUCAGUCUGUGCCCUGCGCCCGGGAAGGUGCCGCAGCCCUCAGCGGCCAGGAAGCAGCGCAGCUGAAGGAUGUUCUCAGGUCCACCGUACAGGUGGGGGAACUGGGACUCAGUUGUUCAACGCUCCAGGUCCCAAAACUUAGCAAAAGAUGGGACUGAGAUACGGCCUUGCGUCACCUUGCUUCCAAUCCAUCACCAGUGGAUCACCAGGAUCACCUGUCGCUCUGGAUCUCGGAGGCAAUGGCAGGAGCCUGAGAACAUAGCCGAGACCAUCCUACACAAGCCACCUCCUCGGUUUCCCUGCUGGAAACAUAUCGAUGUCACCCGUCCACUUAGGAACACUGGCAGACCUGCUGGACACGGGCCUGUUCACCAUAGCAGGCCAAGCGAUGCAAUGGACACCAGAAUAAACUCAGCACCUGGUCCAGAGAGAACAUUCUUCUAUACCCCAGAGAUGAGCCUCCCAGCGUCCCUGCAGGUAGAGAAGGCCACUUGCGUCAACUUGAAGUCAUGUGGGAUCUAGUUUCACCUGGAGCCCAGGCUCAGAGUCUUAACCCCAUAGGGCCCGAGUGCUAGAGAGAUAGGUUUGAGCCCACACAGGGCGACACAGGCAGACAGGCCCACAUUCCCCCAGGUGGACUCCCGCAUACCUCCCGCAUACGGCCCAAGGUCAGAGAGAACUGGGCAGGAUUUUGGAAAAGCACGUUGGCCAGAGCUAAAACCUCUGGGUUUCAACCUUGGGGUAUGACACUGAGCAAGUUAUAUAUUCUCCUUGGGCCUCAGUUUCCUCUUCUGUAAAAUAAGGCAAAUGUGGUAGUUUUCUGGCGGGGUUCUGGUGAGAAUUAAAUGAACUAAUACAGGGC